UCGCAGCUCGCGCUGCACUGAGGGACAGGGAAGGCAAAGACGAGCCCGCGUCUCACUGGUGUCGCACCCGGAGCGACAUCGAGCCAAGCACCCGGAUUUCAAACGACGUCGACGACGGAUCCCCCAGUUGUGACACCGAGUAGCAUUCGUCUGGUGUCCGCGUCAUUAUUUGUCCUCCUGUCUUUCUCUCAGCGGGACAUUAAGUGCCGAAACCGAAUCGGCACAUUUGUCCAGACCACCGCGUCACGAGAGGGGGGGGCUGCUCAUCACAGAACCCAACAGCUCACUGGAUCAAUGAAUGCUGAGUGCUUUUUUGUUGUUGUUGUUUUUUUUAAACGUCCAUUCGACCUGUUAAACGUGGUCGUUGUUCUCACACGUGAAGCAGUAUUUUGUGCGUCCUCCGGUUCCCUCGUGCUGUUUACUGUUCGGUCCCGCUGAACGGAGGAGGCGGCGCUGAGAGCUCUUCGACAAAGCGAGCCCUGAUGCGUAUUGAAGGUGGCGUUUGGUAUUCUGGUCACUCCGUCUCCGACCUGAUGGGGGUCUUCAACACACUCAAAGCCAUUUUGUUCUGAGAAAGGCCCCCGCAGCCCAUCUGGCCAGUGAACAUGCUCCCUGAAAGAAAGACGUCCUGUGUGGAGAAGACAGAGGCUUUGUGCCGCCCUGACGUAUGAGCUCUCUGCAGCUACUUUGUGGGACAGCAGAUGAGUUGAGCGGCAUCGAAGCCGCUAAAUAUCUAAAAAUGUGUAUUUUUGUGUUAAAGACCCAGCGUACGUUUAGCGUAAGUCAGAGCCAACGAUUCAGGGAUUUGAAAUAUGUCGAAUAAUUAAGGAUGAUCUUGUGCAUUUUGAGUAUUGCACUAUGCACUACAUGGACACUGCCUGUGUUCCCUCCAUGCUUGCGUUCUCGCGAUGAACUUUUUAGUUUUUAUUUUGUUGUCCUUGCACUGUGCAAAAAGCAACACAAGCUACUGGUGAGUGUAUUCCACGGGAAGGUGAAGAAUCUGCAUGUGUCCGUACAUGCGUCUGCUCCCAUUCGAUAGAACAGAAAGCCCUUCUGCCGGCGGUGAGCAACACGCUCUCGGCUGAAUGUGAAAGCGAGGAGGCCCCCCCCCGAAACAUCGGUUGGGAUAAUCAAUGCAUAGCUGGAAUUCCACUGCGCGAGAAGCCCCGGCGUCCCAGUUAAUGAUCGACGGCGUUUCUGUUUUCAUGUCAACUGGUGUCGAGGCUCGGGGAGGUCACCACCGAGUCAAAGGGGCCAUUGUGUCCGCGUAGGAAAGACGGCGCUCGCCCAACUCUCGCUUCCCCAGCGGCUGACGUGGCCUCGGGACGCGGAGAACGAGGCUCAAGAUCCCGAAUCUCCAUCUGCGACGCCGGUUUUACUCCCAAGUAACGCCUGAAAUCUUCCUGCCGCGCUCCCUGUUGAACUGAAUGAAGCGUGAUCAGCAUUCUGAGGUAAAAUCGCUAAAGAUGUUUUCUAGCACUGAAGCGACACCACUGCGCUGAUGGGAAAAAGCCCCAAAAUAUAACGAUUCCCUCUGGAAAAAUCAUCCACGUGUCAAUAAACCCUGU
ensembl:lncRNA